rfam:Triticum aestivum genome assembly, contig: Triticum_aestivum_CS42_TGACv1_scaffold_030432_1BL
UACCUAUUCCCUCCGUGCGGGAAUACUUAUCAUCAAAAUGGAUAAAAGAGGAUGUAUCCAGACGUAUUUUAGUUCGAGAUACAUCACCUUUUAUCCAUUUUGAUGACAAGUAUUUUCGGACGGAGGGAGUACUAA